UUCUCCUGAUCUGACCUAGGAGUAGGGCAUGAAGAAGUCCCGCACUGCUGUGUCAAGAGUUGACCACAAUUAGGUGUGCUGUCUUUCCUAGUCCCGAGUACUCAGCACUGUUUCAUGAUCUCUCUUCAGGUUUUGAGAGUUUGUUUCAGGCUUUCUGCAUGCAUCUUCUACAGAUUUCAGAAUUAGGGUGUUACCAUUAUUUUCCUCCACAGAAGACACAUCUGGGGACUUGGCUUUCUAGCAGAUCUGAAGAGUCCUUCACAGUGUGUGCACUGGGCCUUCUUUACAUGACCACCUCUCAUUACAUCCUCUUGGAACAGUAACUCAGGCAGCAUUCAAAGAUGGCAGCCAUGUUUGACUUUGUAUUUCCAAAUAUACAUCCACAGAAGUGUCCGUGUGAUGGCUAUUCCUGGUUGUCACCUUGACUACAUCUGUAAUGAGCUACAAUCGAGAAAUGGAGGACUCACCUGUGAUCAAGAUCUUAAGGCUGAAAGACACAGGCUUCUUACCUGGAUGUUGACAUUGGAUGACACACACUUUUGAUCCAGAUCUUGAGGCACAGUAGCCAUGAAAAGCUUAAGCUCAGGCAAGGUAGUA